rnacentral:rRNA from 1 species
UGCCAGCAGCCGCGGUAAUACGGAGGGUCCAAGCGUUAUCCGGAAUCAUUGGGUUUAAAGGGUUCGCAGGCGGUCUAUUAAGUCAGUGGUGAAAUCUCGGGGCUCAACUCCGAAACUGCCAUUGAUACUGAUAGACUUGAAUAUAGUUGGAGUAGGCGGAAUAUGUAGUGUAGCGGUGAAAUGCUUAGAUAUUACAUAGAACACCGAUAGCGAAGGCAGCUUACUAAACUAUUAUUGACGCUCAUGAACGAAAGCGUGGGGAGCGAACAGGAUUAGAUA